CCCUGAGCUAGAAGUGAUUGACUGUUUUAACAACUUGGAGGCCAAAGGACAGGGAAGCAUGAGUGUUGAACCCGCCGACCACACUGCCCUGAAGGGGACGGCACAGACUCCUCAGAGAAGAGAAUCAGGAUUUGAAAGAAUCUGGGGAAAUGAAGGAAACGCCAGAAACUGCAUAAGGAAAGACUGAAAAAGUGAGAAUGUAAAUUAGAAUGAAAGCAAAACGUGUGACUUUCCAAAAAUGAGGGUGAUGAAAGCACAGAGGAAGAUGGAGCCUGUCCCCGCCCAACCCAUGUGUGCAGGACGGACAGAUGAGGCCAGGUGUGCGCAGGACAGACAGGUGAGGCCAGGUGUGAGCAGGAUGGACAGGUGAGGCCAGGUGUGCGCAGGACAGACAGGCGAAGUCAGCUGUGUGUGUCAGGGACAGGUGAGGUCAGGUGUGCGCAGGAAAGACAGGUGAGGCCAGGUGUGUGCAGGAUGGACAGGCGAAGUCAGGUGUGCGCAGGAUGGACAGGUGAGGUCAGGUGUGUGCAGGACGGACAGGCGAAGUCAGGUGUGUGUGGCAAGGACAGGUGAGGUCAGGUGUGCGCAGGACAGACAGACAAAGUCAGACAUACGGCAUACGUGCAAGGGACAAGUGAGGCCAGGUGUGCACCUGCGUCCAGAUAUCUUGAGACGGGUCACUUCAGCAGGAGUACAGUGCAAGUCAGGUCUUGGGGCAGCUGUCUGAUUCAGUGGCUGCUGAGAGGGACCAAGCCUGAGGGUGUACGGCAGCCAAAGGCCCUGGGGGAGGCUGCGUCUGCACAGGGGUGCGUGAACUCCAUCAGCUGAUUUGGGGCUGCCACCCCCAGACAGACGAGGUGGGUGCAGCUUCGCAGAAGAGACACAGGCUCCAGGCCUCCCCUCGGGCACACUUCCGUGCCUAUGCUCGGGUUCUGCACGGAGCUGGAUUCUUACAUCACAAAGGUGAAAAACAUGAAGAAGCUGUGCUGGACCAAGAAUACCAGAGCUGACAAUAUUAUAUGGUAUUGGGAGGAGACAGGAGGGAGCUGCACUCAGAUCCA
rnacentral:lncRNA from 1 species